AUGGAUGUUGUGCGGCGACUUCAACCUCAUCCUACACGACGAGGUCAAGAGCAAUGGCAACUUGAACAGGCGAAUGAUGGGCAGGUUUCACCGCCUUGUCAACGAUCUCGCCCUGAAGGAAAUUUACCUCAACGGGCGCCGCUUUACAUGGUCCAACGAGCAGUCCCCGCCUACCCUGGUGCAUCUGGACCGCGUGCUCUGCACCUCGGACUGGGAAGACGCGCACGGCGAGUGCCAUCUCCGCUGCCUAGCGUCCGUCGUCUCGGAUCAUUGCCCACUGUUGUUGGACUGCGCACCCAUGCCCAGGGCGUACAGGCGCUUCCACUUUGA
rnacentral:rRNA from 1 species